AAAGGAAUUGACGGGGGCCCGCACAAGCAGCGGAGCAUGUGGUUUAAUUCGACGCAACGCGAAGAACCUUACCAGGUCUUGACAUCCAACUAAAGCGGCAGAGACGCCGUGUCCCUUCGGGGGAGUUGAGACAGGUGGUGCAUGGUUGUCGUCAGCUCGUGUCGUGAGAUGUUGGGUUAAGUCCCGCAACGAGCGCAACCCCUAUGAUCAGUUACUAACGCGUAAAGGCGAGGACUCUGAUGAGACUGCCGGGGACAACUCGGAGGAAGGUGGGGACGACGUCAAAUCAUCAUGCCCCUUAUGACCUGGGCUACACACGUGCUACAAUGGCGACAACAAAGAGGUGCGAAUUCGCAAGGAAGAGCGGAUCUCAAAAAAGUCGUCCCAGUUCGGAUUGUGGGCUGCAACCCGCCCACAUGAAGUCGGAGUUGCUAGUAAUCGCGAAUCAGCAUGUCGCGGUGAAUGCGUUCCCGGGCCUUGUACACACCGCCCGU
rnacentral:rRNA from 1 species